GUUCAGUACCGCGGGAGCCAGGAAAGCUGGCUGAGAGGGCGCCGAUUGCGCCGACCGACAGACGCCGCCCGAAGCCUCGGGCCGCGUGGAACCUGAUCCGGCUCAUACCGGCGUAGGGAAGGAGACCUCGAUGUCG
rnacentral:ncRNA from 1 species